UAGGAAUUGCUUUUCUGAUGCAGGGAGGUGCUGGAGAUUCCUCGCACUGUGCUCUGAUUCCUGCACAACUGUGCACUGUGGUUUUGUAGCUCAGUGUAACUGGAUCUAUCAUCCACCUUAACUUCUGGACUUUCUUUCCCUCUGUCUUUUUUUCCCUCCUUUGUAUCCAACUUUUUCUUUUCUUCCUUCUCCUUCAGUUUUCCAACGUUCCAUCUUCUCCAUGCGUAACAUUGUUUCCCUCAUAGGUUUUUCCCUUCUGGGUUUUUCUCUUUUGUGGUACAGGAGCACAGACUUCAAGAUCAGUAUCUCCCUUCCCCAUCUGCCACCUUUCCAUUUGUCUGUGUUUUUAGCAUCAACUGAAAUUCCCUUUGUAUAGUUCCAGUCCGUGUGAUUGAGGAGUUGCUGUACGAUCAGAGGCCAACUGUUAACAGAGGCAAAGCCAACUUCAUCCUUUGCAGGCUGACGAAUGGUCAUUCUGGAGAGCAGAAUAAUGAAAUUCAGACAACGGUGACCAAAUGUUGCUCCGUGGAACUUUCCUUUUACAAAACAGAUGAAUGCUCCUGGGCUCCAAAACACUGCAGGGAACAAAACUUUCAAACCUUAUGGAAAUAAAAUAGUAAGCCUAUGCAGUGACUUCAUCUCCUUUAUCAGAUCAGAGACGUUUUCUCUGGAAUUGAAAUGGAUUAGAAAAAACCCUCUAAGUAGAGGAAAAGAAUUAAAAUAUCCCACUGAAGCCAUUACUGAAAUACUGCUUUAUUUCAAAAAACACACCCACACGGGUGAACACUGAAUUUCACAGAGAAGAAAAACUGCCACAUCAUCAUCGUUCACAGACCUCGUGUUGCAGAUAGAAGUGUGCUAUGGUCAGGCAGGAAAAUAAAUAUCGCAGUGUUUGUGAUCAAAGGGAGAGAUAAGGCCGUGUGCUGCGUGUUCUGAUCCUGACGGAGGGCUGUAGAAAAUGACCACAGAUAAGCGGCUGAUGUGAGGGCUGGGAUUUUUGCCUCUGGGAUCCCCUGGAAACCCGAACAAGUCGGACCAUCCAGCACCUCGCCAGAUGAGGCCCUGUAUUUAUGUAAUGAGAAAUACCCACUGCGCUGCAGAUUUGUUGCUAGUGUGAGUGAGAUUGCGUUCACUUAAGCCCAUUGCAAAUGUAGCCACUAGAGUCAAAAUAAAAGGAGCCAAAAUAUAUAAAUCCAGCAGACAGAGUUUAUAGGGGAACUAAACCAAACAUUCAACAUGGAGAUUUAGUGCAGCCGAACUGGUGUAACUAAACAGGGUACCUUACAUCAUUCUGUGUCCUACGGGCACGGUCCCCGUUUUAGUGGCGUGCUGCGCUCACGCUGAUAUCAAUAAAAGUCUAACAUGCAAAAUGAGUGGAAUAUACGAGAUGUCAGAUGGUGCGGGACGAGCCCAUAAAGCCCAUACCUAAAAUCCACUGUCACGCUUUUGGCAACCCCCAGCCAACUUCCAUGCAAAUUCCACCCCUGGAUCCUUAACUGAUUUUGCCUUAAUUGAAAGCCUUAAAGGUGAAUUGAAAUGUUGUUGGAAUAAAAACCUGUUUAAGAUGCCAAAUCCCUAACAAAAUCCCAGUGCAGACUUACAAGUAAAUAAAUUGUAAAGGCAAACGUGCAGGCCUUCUUAUUAACCUGUCAAACCACGAAUUCUGGAAUCUGUUCUUCUCUUGCAAAAUUUGUGACAUUCUUCUCCCCCUAAUGACUGGAGUAUUUUACUGCUUUGCGGGCCCGGCAACAAUGAUGACAUUGUUUAGGAAGGUGGUGAAAUCUCCCUUGCUCAUGGUGAUGACUGGGGGACCGCUUCCCCAUUAAUUUAUGUGGAGAAUUGGGAGGUACAGACCAGAUGCCAUGGCCCUUUCUUGGCAGUGCUGCUCACUACACGUUGGGCUGGGGCUGCCCAUGAGGUUGUCUGAUACGGUGUGAAGUCAUGGAUGGAAGCAGCUGAGUGUGAGGAUAGUUCAGCUUUCCAAACUAUUGCUUUAAUGACCUCCUCCCUGAAUUUGAUUUUUGAGGACUAGGUUAAGUGAUUCCUCUUGCAAAAAGCAAGCAAACUCUGUAAGAGAAAUUGUGGGCCCUUUGACUGUAAGGGCCAUCACCUGACAUAUUUUGCACAAGUAUAACCUGCUCGUGCCCAAACUAAACUCAAUCCAUGACCUUAUUUUGGAGAUUCACUUCUCGGGGUAAUGAGGAAAUCAGAGUUGAAACAAUUGCAACGCUUCCCUACCGAAAGAUCCCUACAAAGCUCAGCAUCUGCAGUGUAAAUCACCAGCUGUGGGACUUGGAAGCAUCACUGCUGCAUGCUGCUCCUGUUGCCUGUCCUGUUCUGCACCUCGUCUGGUUGUUGAAUUAAUGCUUUGGAAGCACAUUGGAUACCGAAUCUGAUGAAACGCCGGGUGUCAGCGUGCAGUUAUGAACAUGAAACUACUACAACAACAAAAAUAAUGCAUUAUAAGCAUUAUAAUCCCUAUGUUUGCAUGUGUUAUUAAGUAGUCUCUGGUGUUUGCGUCCCAUUCUAUCACCCUUGUCCUUCCGGAAGGGUAACAUUACAUGUUACGCAGCUAUGUAAUUCAAGAAUAUAAAGAACAGAGUCCUGCUAUAUAUAUAAAAUUCCAAUGUAGUACACAUACGAAAGGCAAAGAAUUGUGGUCUGUUUCAGGCUUUUGCCUUUAUCUUUUCCAUUGCCUCCUGCCAAUUUUCAAAGUACUCCCAGAUCACAGACCGAACUAGAUUAUCCGAACAAGAACUCGGCCUCCCGGUCCUCCCUGCUACCACUCCCCAGGGAUACAGCCUGCCCUCUGACCCCCGGCAAUGCUCCCUCCCACUGCUACCUAUCACUGCCCGAUCCUUUGCUUUCCUCUUCAGGCAAAGGCAUUUCAGCCUGAGAAGGAAGCAGAGCUGUGCACACUGGCACCAGCACACCUACUCCUUGGCUUGCUUGGCCCCAAAAUGAAGGGAGACCCUGGAGGGUCUGUGCAUCCCUCCUCCUACAGACACAGUGAAAUAUGUCAUCAUUUGUACUGCACUCACUUUGGAAAACUCAGCUAGGAAAUGAAGGAUGUGCUCAGUGAGACAAUGUCGGCACUGCUGUCAGACAGAAUUCCCACCCUAAAGAAUUGUCAGCGGAAGCAAAGAUAUUUGUUAGUCUCCAGUACUCAAGAAGUACCACCAAUGGCUGUUUUCUACACCAUGGCAGCAUUAAAAGAUCAGUGGUGAACUCAGAUUUAAAUGGGGACUUCCCAUGGGUGCAUGGAUUUUCGGAAUCUGCAGGGCCUGGCCUUGUCUUCAGCUUCCACUCUGGAAUCCUCACUGGGCUCUGAUUCUAGUUACAUCUCAAGUGGGCAGAGGAUGAUUGCUAUGGCCUCGGUGGUUGAAAUGAGAAAGAUCUGGAAUAGAUUAAUGGGAGUGUGAGAGAUGGAAAGGAAAACAAGGACUUUCUCAUAAUGUGACACAAUACUUAAGAACACACACUGUCGAGUCUCUCUUAGCUUGCUGUACUUCUGACACUAUUCUCUUACAAUAUUUUGCUUAUCAUCCUCUUGUUAAGUUUAUUGUACUUACAAAUCAUUCCCAGACAGCCAGCUUCUUAGAUAUCUUUUCAUUAAAAAAAAAAAAAAGAAAAGAAUAAAAGAAUAAAAAGGUUUUGUGUGUAAUACAUUUCCCCUGCAGGAACUGAUUCCUCAGCACUGCUGACUACAAGCCUCUCCUUGUUUUAAAACACACAGCCAUGCAUCUGGCAGCGGGCUCUUCUCCCCACA
ensembl:lncRNA